AGAUGAAGAAAAUGAGGCUCAAUGAGAUUAAGAGAUUUCUCCACGGUCACAAAGCACAUCAAGGGGAAAGACCUACAGGAACAGAAAGUGAAUGAAGGCCCUAAUCUUGGAAGCCCACCUAAUUUUUCUACUUCCUCCAAUGAAGUAAAAAGGGCACACUCAGAGUAUGCAUAGACCAUUCUUAUAAGACUUCAGUUCAACUGAAUUCAGCGGAGAUUUAUUAAAAGUCUACUACAUUUGAGGAACCAGACUACA